UACAGAGGUGGCAAGCGUUGUUCGGAAUUACUGGGCGUAAAGGGCGCGUAGGCGGCCUUCUAAGUCAGACGUGAAAUCCCCGGCUUAACCUGGGAACUGCGUCUGAUACUGGGAGGCUUGAGUAUGGGAGAGGGAUGUAGAAUUCCAGGUGUAGCGGUGAAAUGCGUAGAUAUCAGGAGGAACACCAGCGGCGAAGGCGGCGCUCUGGGCUGGAACUGACGCUGAGGAGCGAAAGCGUGGGGAGCAAACAGG
rnacentral:rRNA from 1 species